rnacentral:rRNA from 1 species
CCUACGGGUGGCAGCAGUGAGGAAUAUUGGUCAAUGGGCGCGAGCCUGAACCAGUCAAGUAGCGUGAAGGAGGACUGCCCUACGGGUCGUAAACUUCUUUUAUAAAGGAAUAAAGUGAGGCACGUGUGCCUUUAUGUAUGUACUUUAUGAAUAAGGAUCGGCUAACUCCGUGCCAGCAGCCGCGGUAAUACGGAGGAUCCGAGCGUUAUCCGGAUUUAUUGGGUUUAAAGGGGGCGAAGAUGGGUUGUUAAGUCAGUGGUGAAAGUUUGCGGCUCAACCGUAAAAUUGCAAUUGAGACUGGCAGUCUUGAGUACGGUUGAGGUAGGCGGAAUUCGUGGUGUAGCGGUGAAAUGCUUAGAUAUCACGAAGAACUCCGAUUGCGAAGGCAGCUUACUAAACUGUCACUGACAUUGAUGCUCGAAAGUGUGGGUAUCGAACAGGAUUAGAUACCCCUGUAGUC